GACUAGAGAUCUAAUCUCCAUAAUCCAUCACCCUCAAUAUAUACAACAAUUGAAGCAAAAGAGUGAUAUGAACCAAAAAGAUUAGGUGCUUACCAUUUGCAUGCUCGAAGUAGAAUUAUAAAUUUGGGACUAACACCUAGAGUUUGAAAGAAUUUCUUCAUGUUGACUCGGAUUCAAGGGCAGACAUCUAAUGGAAGGGUUGACUCAUUAUAGUCACUCGACAUAUUUAAUCAAGGAUUGGCGUACCAAGUUCGUUGUUGAAUUCGGGCUUUCUUCGAAAUGAAGUAAGGUUGAAGAAUAGUAUUUCUUGGAAAAUAAGAUUGGUGAAGCCCAAGACCUAAGUUAUGGUUAACUUGAGAAGAGACAAGGUACAGAUAGUCGGUUUGGUGACCCUUUAGCAUAGGACUUCUACUCAACUGUCUCGGAGAGCUCCGUUGUUUCGGAGUUUAGACUUUUGGUACAGAUCUUAUGAUAUAUAUAUAUAUAUAUAUAUAUAUAUAUAUAUAUAUAUAUAUAUAUAUAUAUGUAUGUUUAUCCAGGGGUACGGCGGGGCCCUGUCCUGUCAUAUUUCACUGUUGAUACUCUUAGAGGCCUGUAGACAUAUGUGCGGGUUAUGUAUAAGUUUUGUUCAGCUGUGUCUAUACGAUGUGUUAUGAUAUGAUGUCUGUCUGUAGUGGCAGCCUUGUCGGCUUGCAUAUGACAUGAUAUUGAUGUGUAGUGGCAGCCUUGUCGGCUUGCGUAUCAUUUUAUGACUUGAUUAGUUGUGACUCCUCAGGAGACAGUUUAUCUGAAUAUACAUAU